UACAGAGGUCUCAAGCGUUGUUCGGAUUCAUUGGGCGUAAAGGGUGCGUAGGCGGCGCCAUAAGUCAGGCGUGAAAUCUCGGGGCUCAACCUCGAAACUGCACUUGAUACUGUGGUGCUUGAGUACUGGAGAGGAGAUUGGAAUUUACGGUGUAGUGGUGAAAUGCGUAGAUAUCGGGAGGAACACCAGUGGCGAAGGCGACUACCUGGCCUGUUCUUGACGCUGAGGCGCGAAAGCUAGGGGAGCAAACGGG
rnacentral:rRNA from 1 species